rnacentral:rRNA from 1 species
GCGUUAAGUCGACCGCCUGGGGAGUACGGCCGCAAGGUUAAAACUCAAAUGAAUUGACGGGGGCCCGCACAAGCGGUGGAGCAUGUGGUUUAAUUCGAUGCAACGCGAAGAACCUUACCUGGUCUUGACAUCCACGGAAGUUUUCAGAGAUGAGAAUGUGCCUUCGGGAACCGUGAGACAGGUGCUGCAUGGCUGUCGUCAGCUCGUGUUGUGAAAUGUUGGGUUAAGUCCCGCAACGAGCGCAACCCUUAUCCUUUGUUGCCAGCGGUCCGGCCGGGAACUCAAAGGAGACUGCCAGUGAUAAACUGGAGGAAGGUGGGGAUGACGUCAAGUCAUCAUGGCCCUUACGACUAGGGCUACACACGUGCUACAAUGGCGCAUACAAAGAGAAGCGACCUCGCGAGAGCAAGCGGACCUCAUAAAGUGCGUCGUAGUCCGGAUUGGAGUCUGCAACUCGACUCCAUGAAGUCGGAAUCGCUAGUAAUCGUGGAUCAGAAUGCCACGGUGAAUACGUUCCCGGGCCUUGUACACACCGCCCGUCACACCAUGGGAGUGGGUUGCAAAAGAAGUAGGUAGCUUAACCUUCGGGAGGGCGCUUACCACUUUGUGAUUCAUGACUGGGGUGAAGUCGUAACAAGGUAACCGUAGGGGAACCUGCGGUUGGAUCACCUCCUUA